rnacentral:tRNA from 1 species
GCCCGAGUGGUGGAAUUGGUAGUCACACCGCACUUAAAAUGCGUCGGUCUUAGACCGUGCCGGUUCGAGUCCGGCUUCGGGUACCA